UACGUAGGGGGCAAGCGUUGUCCGGAAUCAUUGGGCGUAAAGAGCGCGUAGGCGGCCCGACAAGUCCGCUGUGAAAGUCAGGGGCUUAACCCUUGAAUGCCGGUGGAUACUGUCGGGCUAGAGUCCGGAAGAGGCGAGUGGAAUUCCUGGUGUAGCGGUGAAAUGCGCAGAUAUCAGGAGGAACACCGAUGGCGAAGGCGGAUCUCUGGGCCUGUCCUGACGCUCAGGCGCGAAAAGCUGGGGGAGCAAACAGGAUUAGAAACCCGGAGUACU
rnacentral:rRNA from 1 species